rnacentral:lncRNA from 1 species
CGAUUCAUCCUGGUCUGAUUAGAAUGACAAAGAAGCUGUCAUAUUCCCAAACAGGAAAAUUGGGAUCACCUGAUCUGAAAGUGGGACAGCUUCUUCAUCCUAACUCCUAUGAGAUUUAUUCAACUUCAUAGUGAUUCUCCAUUACUUUAUGUAUCAAAAUCAAGAUUCUUACAUCGCGAUUCAUCCUGGUUCUAUUAGAAUGACACAGGAAGUUGUUAUAUUCCCAAACAGGAAAACUGGGAUCACCUGAUUUGAAAGUGGGAUAGCUUCUUCAUCCUAAUUCCUAUGAGAUUUAUUCAACUUCCAAGUGAUUCUCCAUUACUUUAUGUAUCAAAAUCAAGCUUCUUACAUCGCGAUUCAUCCUGGUUUGAUUAGAAUGACAAAGAAGCUGUCAUAUUCCCAAACAGGAAAACUGGGAUCACCUGAUUUGAAAGUGGGAUAGCUUCUUCAUCCUAACUCCUAUGAGAUUUAUUGAACUUCCUAGUGAUUCUCCAUUACUUUAUAUAUCAAAAUCAAGCUUCUUACAUCGCGAUUCAUCCUGGUUCUAUUAGAAUGACAAGGAAACUGUUAUAUUCCGAAACAGGAAAACUGGGAUCACCUGAUUUGAAAGUGGGAUAGCUUCUUCAUCCUAACUCCUAUGAGAUUUAUUCAACUUCCUAAUGGUUCUCCACUACUUUAUAUAUCAAAAUCAAGCUUCUUACAUCGCAAUUCAUCCUGGUUCUAUUAGAAUGACAAAGAAGCUGUCAUAUUCCCAAACAGGAAAAGUGGGAUCACCUGAUUUGAAAAUUGGAUAGCUUCUUCAUCCUAACUCCUAUGAGAUUUAUUCAACUUCCUAGUGAUUCUCCAUUACUUUAUGUAUCAAAAUCAAGAUUCUUACAUCGCGAUUCAUCCUGGUUCUAUUAGAAUGAAAGAUUCUUACAUCUCGAUUCAUUCUGGUUUGAUUAGAAUGACAAAGAAGCUGUCAUAUUCCCAAACAAAAAAUUUGGGAUCACCUGAUUUGAAAGUGGGACAGCUUCUUCAUCCUAACUCCUAUGAGAUUUAUUCAACUUCCUAGUGAUUCUCCAUUACUUUAUGUAUCAAAAUCAAGAUUCUUACAUCGCGAUCCAUUCUGGUUCUAUUAGAAUUACAAGGAAGCUGUUAUAUUCCCAAACAGGAAAACUGAGAUCACCUGAUUUGAAAGUGGGAUAGCUUCUUCAUCCUAACUAUUAUGAGAUUUAUUCAACUUCCUAGUCAUUCUCCAUUACUUUAUGUAUCAAAAUCAAGCUUCUUACAUCGCGAUUCAUCCUGGUUCUAUUAGAAUGACAAGGAAGCUGUUAUAUUCCCAAAUAGGAAAACUGAGAUCACCUGAUUUGAAAGUGGGAUAGCUUCUUCAUCCUAACUCCUAUG